UAAACUGGGAUUAGAUACCCCACUAUGCUUAGCCCUAAACCUUAAUAAUUUAUCUAACGAAAUUAUUUGCCUGAGAACUACUGGCCACAGCUUAAAACUCAAAGGACUUGGCGGUACUUUACAUCCAUCUAGAGGAGCCUGUUCUAUAAUCGAUAAACCCCGCUAUACCUUACCACCCCUCGCUAAUUCAGCCUAUAUACCGCCAUCUUCAGCAAACCUUUAAAAAGAAUAGAAGUAAGCAAGAGAAUACCCAUAAAAACGUUAGGUCAAGGUGUAGCCUAUGGGGUGGGAAGUAAUGGGCUACAUUUUCUCUACAAGAACAUUCACGAGACUACCUAUGAAAUGGGGUAGCAAAGGAGGAUUUAGUAGUAAAUUAAGAAUAGAGAGCUUAGUUGAAUAGCGCAAUGAAGUACGCACACACCGCCCGUCACCCUCCUCAAAUUAGGUUAACAGGACACAUACAUAAUACCUCUAGUAAACUUAUGAGAGGAGACAAGUCGUAACAAGGUAAGCAUACUGGAAAGUGA
rnacentral:rRNA from 1 species